rnacentral:misc_RNA from 1 species
ACGCCAUCUUGGCAAGCCACCAUCCAAAACCCAAACUUUGUCAUGUCCAAAAGCUCGAAACAUCCACCAAACACGGGCAGCACUGAAAAUGCCCUUGCCAUCGUAUAUAACAACCCCAUCUUUGUUCUUGAUACCAAGAGCAGACACAGCAGCUGCAAAUGCUUCUUCAGACGGCAACAUAUGUGGCAAAUUUGUAGUCCGAUCAGUUAUUCCGUCUAUAUCAAAGAAUAGUGCUCCAGGAAUGCAAGCGACCUGAUACUCCUGGAGUGGAUUUCUCUGCUCAUCUGGCAUGUACCAAGAUGCAUCUAACACCUUUAAGUCGGGGUCUCUGAUGUUUGCAUGGAGCCAGUCAACUGAAACAACAGGUUCGUUGGUUGAUAUUGCUAGUGUUGAGAAUGAUGGUUGUGCCCCAACCAUUGAGGAAGCCAUACAACGAGUAAAAUAACCCUUAACUUUGUAGAUUAGUAAGUUGGAGCUGCUAGCGAGCGAAAUGGUUUCCUGGUGAUAGCAGAGAGAAGAAAUUGAGGAGUG